GACGAACGCUGGCGGCGUGCUUAACACAUGCAAGUCGAACGGAAAGGCCUCUUUCGGGGGGUACUCGAGUGGCGAACGGGUGAGUAACACGUGAGUAACCUGCCCUUGACUUUGGGAUAACUUCAGGAAACUGGGGCUAAUACCGGAUAGGAGCUCCUGCUGCAUGGUGGGGGUUGGAAAGUUUCGGCGGUUGGGGAUGGACUCGCGGCUUAUCCGCUUGUUGGUGGGGUAGUGGCUUACCAAGGCUUUGACGGGUAGCCGGCCUGAGAGGGUGACCGGCCACAUUGGGACUGAGAUACGGCCCAGACUCCUACGGGAGGCAGCAGUGGGGAAUAUUGCACAAUGGGUGGAAGCCUGAUGCAGCAACGCCGUGUGCGGGAUGACGGCCUUCGGGUUGUAAACCGCUUUCGCUCAUGACGAAGCUUUGUGUGACGGUAGUGGGUAAAGAAGCACCGGCUAACUACGUG
rnacentral:rRNA from 1 species